rnacentral:tRNA from 1 species
GGGCUCGUAGCUCAACUGGUUAGAGUACAGGAUUGUCGAUCCUGAUGUUGCGGGUUCAAGUCCCGUCGAGCCCGCCA